UGCGGUGUCAUGGUGCAAAGGUUUAGCACACACUCCCGGAAAGAGUAGGAUCUGGGUUCAAAUCCCUGCUGAUGCAA